ACUGUCCUAGCCACCUUUUAUUUGAGGAGGAUUGUAAAACCAAAAUUCUCCUGCCUUACACAAUUCUGAUUCACACCCCGCUGAGGUACCAGAGGCCAACGUAAUUAAGUUUCUUAGGAAGCUUUUCCACAGAUGAAAGGAUAACCAGCAUCCUAGCUUUGACUGCUGAUGGUCUAGAAACACAGAGACAAUCAGCUCAGAAACCAUUCCCCUGCAUUCUC
rnacentral:lncRNA from 1 species